rnacentral:lncRNA from 10 species
AGGGGCAGAGAUGACCAGCUGCAGCUUGGCCCAGUAUCGUGUGGCCGAAACAAUAUUCUACAGGCUGGAUCCAGCUCCUGGGCUGCUGUUUGACAACUGAUGUUGCUGGUCACCAGCUGGACUCACUCCCCUGAUGAAGUCUAAGGCCAGUGGAACUCACCCUUCACUAAACCUACACACCACGCUUCUAGGAAUGCAGACUAAAUUUGCAAUCAUUUUUCCAGCAGUUGUGUCAUAUUAUACUUUAAAUUCACACGAAACUGGUGGCUAAGGACCUGCAAGUCUUCAUGUGAGUGUUGUCCAGCCUGACCUCUCAAACCAUCUUGUGCAAUGAUACGUUGAACCUACCUGCAUGGCUUUGCAUUUAUCUCUGUUGGUCCCCAUUCUGUCUUACAGAGUUUGUGCUAUUUUUCCCCAACCUGCUUUUGGCACAGCUUUGAACAUUACUUCUUACAUGAAAUCACCAGCUGGAUUCAGUAACUCAGUGAAGUCUGACAAGUCCUAAAGGCAUUAAUACAAUUUUUGAUUAAGCCUGGACAACAUAGUGAGACCCUGAUCUCUACAAAAACAUUUUUUUAAAAUUAGCAGGGCAGAGUGGCACGUGCCUGUAGUCCCAGCUACUCGAGAAGCUGAGGUGGGAGGAUCACCUGAGCCCAGAAGUUUGAGGCUACAGUGAGCUAUGAUCAUGCCACUGCACUCCAGCCUGGGCAACAGAGCUAAAACCUAGUCUCAAAAAAACUUGGCUAGAAAUGUGAUGCUCCAAGGUACCCCAAAUGUCACCAAUGCACUAAUGAACACCCCUUGCCUUCAGAGUAAAAAGAAACUAGCCUAUGUUCAGCACCUGCCACGAGCUCAAGACUGCCCAGUUCCCUCAUUCUCACUUCCCAUCUAAUGCAGAGACCCUUCCAGCAGCUCUGCCCCAGUGACCAAGGAAGAAAC